rnacentral:lncRNA from 1 species
ACACAUACCUCCAAACACUGCAUGCAUUAACCAAAAGUAAAAAAAACAUUCUUUGGAUCAAGCCGUGUGAAAAACCGCAUUUAUUUGCGCUCAAUACCAAAAAUUGUUGAGAAGUUCUUUAAUCAACACUGCAGUUCUUCCGUCUAUAAAACAGCCAAUUGUGGAUGAUCACAACAACAGUCAUCGUUUGACCUGCAAAGUUGAAAUUUCAGAUAAAGAGUAAAAAAAAUAAAAUCGAAAAAAUUAUUGCAAAAAUUCCUUGUCCAUGUGGAAGUGGUUGUCAGGUAAUUGCGGUUGUGGUUCGGCUUGUAGGUGCUGUGUUUGUGGAAGUGGUUGCAAAUGCGCUACACAAUCUCAGAGUGGCAGCUGUGGUUGCGGCAAUGGCUGUAAAUGUGGGCAGUAAUGCGUUUAAAAUUUCAUGUUUUGAAAUAAUAAUAAAUAAAACAAAAAAAAUAUGUUUUUGUAAUUUAG